rnacentral:rRNA from 1 species
UACGUAGGGUGCAAGCGUUGUCCGGAAUUAUUGGGCGUAAAGAGUUCGUAGGCGGUUUUGUCGCGUCCGUUGUGAAAGCUUGGGGCUCAACCCCCAGUCUGCAGUGGAUACGGGCAGACUAGAGUCAGGUAGGGGAGGAACGGGAAAUUCCACGUGUAGCGGUGAAAAAUGCGCAGAUAUCAGGAGGAACACCGAUGGCGAAGGCAGGUCUCUGGGCAUUAACUGACGUGAGGAGCGAAAAGCUGGGGGGAGCAACAGG